rnacentral:rRNA from 1 species
UUCUUUUUGUGUUAAUAAAAGGUAAAUCCUGCUCAAUGAAUUUUAAAUAGCUGCGGUUAAAAUCGUACAAAGGUAGCAUAAUCAUUUGUCCUUUAAUUAAGGUCUAGUAUGAAAGGUUUAACGAAAAAUUAACUUUUUUAGUUGAUUUUUAUUUAAUUUAAUUUUUUUGUAAAAAAGCAAAAAUAUUUUUGUGGGACGAUAAGACCCUAUAGAAUUUUAUUCUUACAAUUAAAUAUAAAAUCAAGUAUUUUAUUUUAUAUUUAAUUGUAAGAAUUUGGUUGGGGUGACUAUUAUAAUUUAAUAACUAUAAUUUUUAUAAAUCAUUAAUUUAUGAUUAAUUGAUCCUAAAUUUUGGAUUAUAAGAUUAAAUUACCUUAGGGAUAACAGCGUAAUUUUUUUGGUAAGUUCUUAUUUAUAAAAGAGAUUGCGA